CUGGAUGUGACUCUGAAUCGUGCUCCCAGUAACUGGCCCCUGCCUGCCCCUGACUUCACACACUGAAACUGGAGCUAAGAGAUGCCUGCACUCUAAUCCAGCCAGCCUGACCUAGGGGUCAACACUUUCUCCCUCUGCUGGCCCUGUUCUUCGGAUAGCAGGCGCGGUGUCUGAACCUAAGUGAUGCUCGCAUUCCUCUCAAGGAACUAAAGCCAGAUUUGGCCCUGAAGUUUCUUUCUGCACGUUAGUCUUUGGAGCUCUCUUUCCCAGUCCACCUCUGAUUUAUUUAAAAAUUACUUUCUAAACCAACUUGAAGCCACUCAAAAUUAAUUUAAACUCCCCCAAAACUGAAUUUGUCCAUGUCCACCAUUGUAAUUUGUUACCUUGCAUUAUAACCUACUACAGAACCAUGGUGAUGUCAGAACUCCAAUGAUGUAGUGUGGUCUCCAUGUACAAUAUAUCAUAAGAGCGGUUUCAGCUUGGAUGAUCGAUGGAGUAAGCCUGGGAAGAAUUUAAAAAGAGACCGAAAUUUCUCAGAUUUUUUUUUAUUCCCUUUAAGUGGUUGAAGGCGUCACCCCCAAGAGAUUACUGAAAGUCUAAAUCAUUCUUUCCCCUUCUUGCUCUGCAUCACACAGAGGUCUGCAAAGGCAAUUAACCCAGCAUGUUGGCAGAAGUGCUGAGGCAUAAUUGGCUGUUGCUGUGGCCUUGUAGCUUUGGCCAUGACAUUGUCCUGUCCACUGGGAAAGGGGAAACAAACCUGCUUUUGCUUAAAGACGUCACCAAUGAGGCACAAUCAUGUACCACUCAUCCCUUUGGCAGGCUCCAGAGCUUUGGGUCCUUAGUAAGGUUUGUCCCUGAGAAAGGGGAAAGAACUCACUUCCAGUCUGCACACCUGGGCUUCCCUUUGAGGUCAGUGCCUCCCAGGCAAUCAGCUGGGUUUAACUCAUCAAUACCAAGCUGAGGCUCUGUAAUCAGGGAGAAUAACCAGAACACUCUGGAAAAAUAAUAAAAUGUCCUUUACUUAUAAGCGAGAUAGAAUAUUUUGCUUUUUUAGCAACAGGUUCUCACUCUGUUUCCCAUGGCUUACUGCAGCCUCAACCUCCUGGGCUCAAGUGAUUCUCCCACUUCAGCCUCCCAGGUAGCUGGGACCACAGGUGUGCACCACCACACUUGGCUAAUUUUUGUAUUUUUUUGUAGAGACAGCGUUUCACCGUGUUGCCCAGGCUGGUCUUGAAUUCCUGAGCUCAAGUGAUACACCCACCUCGGCCGCCCAAAGUGCUGGGAUUACAAGUGAGCACCACUGCACCAGGCCAACAUCGGUACUUUUUAUCCAUUCAACUUGCUUUCUUGAGUGAAAGAAAAAGGGAGAGUGGUAACCAUUGCAUUGAGAAUUGUAGGUGCUCCUUUGGGAUUAAAAUUCACACUAAUGUGCAAAUGACUUGUGUAAGACCUUG
rnacentral:lncRNA from 10 species